rnacentral:rRNA from 1 species
CUGCCCUAGCCUGCGAAGGGAGACCCGUGAGGGCUCCUGGAGGUAUCGGAAGUGAGAAUGCUGACAUAAGUAGCGAUAAAAAGCGUGAGAGACGCUUUCGCCGUAAGUCCAAGGGUUCCUGCGCAAGGUCAAUCCGCGCUGGGUUAGCCGGCCCCUAAGUCGAGGGCGACAGCCGUAGACGAUGGGAACCACGUCAAUAUUCGUGGGCCUGCUGGUGGUGACGGAUCCGAAAAGUGGCCCGAGCUCGUUGGCGAAUGCUCGGGCGGCCCAAGGGUUCCAGGAAAUAGCCCCAGCGUAUAGACCGUACCCUAAACCGACACAGGUGGACUGGUAGAGUAUACCAAGGCGCUUGAGGGAACCAUGUUGAAGGAACUAGGCAAUUUACCCCCGUAACUUCGGGAUAAGGGGGCCUCUGUCCGUCUGGACAGAGGGGCACAGACUAGGGGGUGGUGACUGUUUACCAAAAACACAGGGCUCUGCUAAGCCGUGAGGCGAAGUAUAGGGUCUGACGCCUGCCCGGUGUCGGAAGGUUAAGAGGAGAGGUGCAAGCCUUGAAUUGAAGCCCCGGUAAACGGCGGCCGUAACCAUAACGGUCCUAAGGUAGCGAAAUUCCUUGUCGGGUAAGUUCCGACCUGCACGAAUGGCGUAACGACUUCCCCGCUGUCUCCAACAUGGGCUCGGCGAAAUUGAAUUCCCCGUGAAGAUGCGGGGUACCCGCAGUUAGACGGAAAGACCCCGUGCACCUUUACUACAACUUUGCAGUGGCAUUAGAGAAUGGAUGUGUAGGAUAGGCGGGAGCCUUUGAGACUUUGGCGCUAGCUAAGGUGGAGGCAACCUUGAAAUACCGCCCUUUUGUUCUUUGAUGUCUAACCGAGGUCUGUAAUCCAGAUCCGGGACCCUGCAUGGUGGGUAGUUUGACUGGGGCGGUCGCCUCCCAAAGAGUAACGGAGGCGCGCGAUGGUGGGCUCAAGCUGGUCGGAAAUCAGCUGCUGAGUGCAAUGGCACAAGCCCGCCUGACUGCGAGACUGACAAGUCGAGCAGGGACGAAAGUCGGCCAUAGUGAUCCGGUGGUUCCGCGUGAGUGGGCCAUCGCUCAACGGAUAAAAGGUACGCCGGGGAUAACAGGCUGAUACCACCCAAGCGUCCACAGCGACGGUGGUGUUUGGCACCUCGAUGUCGACUCAUCACAUCCUGGGGCUGGAGCAGGUCCCAAGGGUUCGGCUGUUCGCCGAUUAAAGUGGUACGUGAGUUGGGUUCAAAACGUCGUGAGACAGUUUGGUCCCUAUCUGCUGUGGGUGUUCGAGACUUGAGAGGAGCCGUCCUUAGUACGAGAGGACCGGGAUGGACUUACCUCUGGUGUACCGGUUAUGGCGCCAGCCGUAGCGCCGGGUAGCUAUGUAGUGAAGGGAUAAACGCUGAAAGCAUCUAAGCGUGAAACCCGCCUCAAAACUAGGUCUCGCUGAGAGCCGUGGUAGACCACCACGUUGAUAGGCCGCAUGUGCAAGUGCAGUGAUGCAUUCAGCUUAGCGGUACUAAUAGCUG